rnacentral:tRNA from 1 species
UAGGAGUUAGUAUAAUGGGAAGUACGUAAAAUUUUGGGUUUUAUGGUGUAGGUUCGAGUCCUGCUUUCUAGG